GAUGAACGCUGGCGGCGUGCCUAAUACAUGCAAGUCGAGCGAAUUGUGUGAGCGCUUGCUCUUAUGAAGUUAGCGGCGGACGGGUGAGUAACACGUGGGUAACCUGCCCAUAAGACUGGGAUAACUCCGGGAAACCGGGGCUAAUACCGGAUAACAUUUUGAACCGCAUGGUUCGAAAUUGAAAGGCGGCUUCGGCUGUCCCUUAUGGAUGGACCCGCGUCGCAUUAGCUAGUUGGUGAGGUAACGGCUCACCAAGGCAACGAUGUGUAGCCGAACUGAGAGGGUGAUCGGCCACGCUGGGACUGAGAAGCGGCCCAGACUCCUACGGGAGGCAGAAGUAGGGACUCUUCCGGAAUGGACGAGAGUCUGACGGAGCAACGCCGCGUGAGUUAUGAAGGCUUUCGGGUCGUAAAACUCGGUUGUUAGGGAAGAACAAGUGCUAGUUGAAUAAGCUGGCACCUUGACGGUACCUAACCAGAAAGCCACGGCUAACUACGUGCCAGCCGCCGCUGUAA
rnacentral:rRNA from 1 species